rnacentral:rRNA from 1 species
UACGUAGGUGGCAAGCGUUGUCCGGCUUUACUGGGCGUAAAGAGCGCGCAGGCGGUCGUCCAAGUCGCGUGUGAAAGCCCCCGGCUCAACUGGGGAGGGUCACGCGAUACUGGUCGACUCGAAGGCAGGAGAGGGUAGUGGAAUUCCCGGUGUAGUGGUGAAAUGCGUAGAUAUCGGGAGGAACACCAGUGGCGAAGGCGGCUUCCUGGCCUGUUCUUGACGCUGAGGCGCGAAAGCUAGGGGAGCAAACGGG